UGCCAGCAGCCGCGGUAAUACGAAGGGGGCUAGCGUUGCUCGGAAUCACUGGGCGUAAAGCGCACGUAGGCGGCUUUUUAAGUCAGGGGUGAAAUCCUGGAGCUCAACUCCAGAACUGCCUUUGAUACUGAGAAGCUUGAGUUCGGGAGAGGUGAGUGGAACUGCGAGUGUAGAGGUGAAAUUCGUAGAUAUUCGCAAGAACACCAGUGGCGAAGGCGGCUCACUGGCCCGAUACUGACGCUGAGGUGCGAAAGCGUGGGGAGCAAACAGGAUUAGAUA
rnacentral:rRNA from 1 species